AUGUGGCCCUGGAGCAGAUGCAGAAGGUCCUUAGCCUGGAACACACCAGCAAAUGUACCUUGGAGUGAAGGAGUGUUAUAUAAACAUGGAUACACAAUGCAGAAAGAAGUUGGACAAGGGGUUUCAGGCAGAGUGUUUCUAGUGACCAACUCAGAUGGAGAUCCUUAUGUGAUAAAACAGAUGAAUUCAAGAGAUAGGACGGAUCUGAACAGAGUCCAAAAGGAAGUCACAAUCUUGAAGAAAAUAAACUGUGGAUAUAUUGUUUCUUAUGUGGAAUCAUUUGAAGAUACAGACGCUGAAUUCUUUUAUGUUGUGAUGGAGUAUUGUGCAGGAGGAGAUCUUAAUGAGAGGAUGAAAGCACAGAAAGAGAUAGGGGUUUUUGAAGAACAACAGUGUGCGUUUCCUGGUGUCAAUAAAGUCUUAUAUUUGCCAAUCCUACGUCAAGCCGUCGGCCACUCGAAAGUCAAGCCCGGCCGCUGCACUCUCAAACCCACCAGCUGCUCCUCAGCCAAGGCCGCUGGCCGCUGCACUCUCAAGUCCACAGGCCAAUUCCCUUCCAAGCCCUCAGCUAACAGCAGCCCACUCCUAAACUCCAAACCAAUGAAGGAGUAG
ensembl:lncRNA